rnacentral:tRNA from 2 species
GCGAUCGUGGCGAAGUGGUUAACGCACCGGACUGUGACUCCGGCAUUCGUGGGUUCAAGCCCCAUCGGUCGCC